CCUACGGGAGGCAGCAGUGGGGAAUUUUGGACAAUGGGGGCAACCCUGAUCCAGCAAUGCCGCGUGAGUGAAGAAGGCCUUCGGGUUGUAAAGCUCUUUUGUCAGGGAAGAAACAGCAGCUCUAACACAGUUUGCGAAUGACGGUACCUGAAGAAUAAGCACCGGCUAACUACGUGCCAGCAGCCGCGGUAAUACGUAGGGUGCAAGCGUUAAUCGGAAUUACUGGGCGUAAAGCGUGCGCAGGCGGUUAUGUAAGACAGGCGUGAAAUCCCCGGGCUUAACCUGGGAAUUGCGCUUGUGACUGCAUAGCUAGAGUAUGUCAGAGGGGGGUAGAAUUCCACGUGUAGCAGUGAAAUGCGUAGAGAUGUGGAGGAAUACCAAUGGCGAAGGCAGCCCCCUGGGAUAAUACUGACGCUCAUGCACGAAAGCGUGGGGAGCAAACAGGAUUAGAUACCCUGGUAGUCCACGCCCUAAACGAUGCUGACUAGUUGUUCGGGAAUUUAUUCCUGAGUAACGUAGCUAACGCGUGAAGUCAGCCGCCUGGGGAGUACGGUCGCAAGAUUAAAACUCAAAGGAAUUGACGGGGACCCGCACAAGCGGUGGAUGAUGUGGAUUAAUUCGAUGCAACGCGAAAAACCUUACCUACCCUUGACAUGCCACUAACGAAGUAGAGAUACAUUAGGUGCCCGUAAGGGAAAGUGGACACAGGUGCUGCAUGGCUGUCGUCAGCUCGUGUCGUGAGAUGUUGGGUUAAGUCCCGCAACGAGCGCAACCCUUGUCUCUAGUUGCUACGCAAGAGCACUCUAGAGAGACUGCCGGUGACAAACCGGAGGAAGGUGGGGAUGACGUCAAGUCCUCAUGGCCCUUAUGGGUAGGGCUUCACACGUCAUACAAUGGUGCAUACAGAGGGUUGCCAACCCGCGAGGGGGAGCUAAUCUCAGAAAAUGCAUCGUAGUCCGGAUCGUAGUCUGCAACUCGACUACGUGAAGCUGGAAUCGCUAGUAAUCGCGGAUCAGAAUGUCGCGGUGAAUACGUUCCCGGGUCUUGUACACACCGCCCGUCACACCAUGGGAGUGGGUUUUGCCAGAAGCCGUUAGCCUAACCGCAAGGAGGGCGACGACCACGGCAGGGUUCAUGACUGGGGUGAAGUCGUAACAAGGUAAAGGGCG
rnacentral:rRNA from 1 species